CAACCCUCAAGCCUAGCUUGGUGUUGGGGCAUUACCUGAACUGUUUCUUACAGGAGGGUAAGCCCUGAAAUUCAGUGGCGAGCUCGCCAGGACUCCGAGCGCAGUAGUAAAACCCUCGCUCUGGAUCGUACUGGCGCGGCCCUGCCGUAAAACCCCCAACUUCUGAAA
rnacentral:misc_RNA from 1 species